rnacentral:rRNA from 1 species
UACGGAAGGCAGCAGUGGGGAAUAUUGCACAAUGGGCGAAAGCCUGAUGCAGCUAUGCCGCGUGUAUGAAGAAGGCCUUAGGGUUGUAAAGUACUUUCAUCGGGGAGGAAAAAACAAAACUAAUAAUUUUAUUUCUUGACGUUACCCGAAAAAGAAGCACCGGCUAACUCCGUGCCAGCAGCCGCGGUAAUACGGAGGGUGCUAGCGUUAAUCAGAAUUACUGGGCGUAAAGAGCACGUAGGUGGUUUUUUUAAAGUCAGAUGUGAAAUCCCCUGGGCUUAACCUGGAACUGCAUUUUGAAACUGAAAUACUAGAGUAUCGUAGAGGGAGGUAGAAUUCUAGGUGUAGCGGUGAAAUGCGUAGAUAUCUGGAGGAAUACCUGUGGCGAAAGCGGCCUCCUAAACGAAUACUGACACUGAGGUGCGAAAGCGUGGGGAGCAAACAGGGAUUAGAUACC